rnacentral:lncRNA from 1 species
UUGCAAACCAGUUCAGCCUAGCCAGGUUAGACUAACCUGCAAAGAUUGAAUCAAUUCAGGCUGUCCCUAUCCAGGAAGGCUCCCGUAUACACUCCUUUCUUCAAUGGGUCAGCCCUGCUUCCUUCCAGCUCCAUUGUUGGUAACAUUAGAGCAGAGCUGAUUUCGCUGCUACUGAAGUGGAACUGAAAUUCUCCCGUGGCUCUGGGAAAUAAACACGGAGGCACGGAGUGGCCCUAGGAGCUGGAAGCCCAGUGCAAAGCGCGGUGUGCCGAGCCUCCAGCGAGCUUAGAUAAUCCUUGCAGCGCAUCUGGAGGUGGGAGGCUUGAAUGUUUUCAGAGACUGAAAGUGAAAGGAAACAAUCUCCUUUUUUAUGAUUUCUUGGAACUGGCAGUGAACCUAAACAGCAGUUGUUAGCACGGAUCAAGUCAUGUCUCUGCAUCUGCCUGUAAAAUAAAGGUGACAGUACUUCCUUUUUUCCUUUAUCC